rnacentral:rRNA from 1 species
GCCUGCGUGAAGUUGGAAUCGCUAGUAAUCGCGGAUCAGCAUGCCGCGGUGAAUACGUUCCCGGGCCUUGUACACACCGCCCGUCACACCAUGAGAGUCGGAACACCCGAAGUCCGUAGUCUAACCGCAAGGGGGACGCGGCCGAAGGUGGGUUCGAUAAUUGGGGUGAAGUCGUAACAAGGUAAC